CAUUAGAGCUUAUGCCACUGCACUGAUGUCACAAUGUUAAAAGUGUGUGUCACUCUGGGCAUUCGGAAUUCCUCUAAGCUACAAUAUGUAAAUUCAGAAUAUCCGAAGGGUAAACAUCAGAUGUUACCUGCAGGCUUCAUGCUGAAACGCGUGUACGCAAAACACUUCCGCCGUGGUGGGCGACGCCGUUAGUGUAAUCAUACACGCAAGACAAUUGCGGGCACAUGGAGUAGUGGCAGCAACCUGAAAACGAUACAUUUUCUUGUUACAUAUGAGUAAUCAAAAAUAUACAUUCCCACAUGUUUCGUUUUGUCGUUUGUAGGAAGCGCUAGUAAGGGAACAGCACUUGGUUGGUCACAUGCAAGCCACAAUGCGAGAGGUGCCGAUAUUUCGAUUACGCGAUCAAGAAUUAAAAGUCUAGAACCAUGCACACUUCCCCAUGCAACUACUUCCCCAGCAUCGUGAGACAUGACACCCAUGACAUGACACCAUGUAUUCACGUAUAGUGUAAUGAUAUGCAGGAAUGAAAAAGAUGCCAACAUACCUGUAAUCCAGUGUCCCAUAAGUUUGAUUCGAUUUUUUGGCAGCUACCAUGAAGAGCAAAUGCACGAUUCACAAGUUUCGUUUCGCCAUUUUCAUUGUUGAUUUCGCAAGCGUCGAGCAAUCCCACGUGACCUCCUUUGGAUCAGUGAAAAGUGAAAAUUACUCGCGUCAUGAACAUAUAUGUUCAUCUCAGCGCAAAUCACGUUUUGCAUGCUAUAGAAGGAGGGGGGAUCAAUACUCUUCCUUUCGUGUUUUGAUAUCUUGUUGUUUUGCUACUCUCACUUCGGAGUUCGGAUGGUGUCUAGCAACGUUGGGUACCUCGUUUCUUGUGUGUGUGAGCGAGUGGUUGCUGUUUACGAUGUGUUCAUAUAUCGCUUUGUAGUGCUGUAAUGUGCAAAUUAGCGGACUUUAUAGCGGCUCUCUAUUUUCCGUCGUUGUCUUUCGAGCAGCGCCUGUUGUUCCGGUAAAAAUCGAGUUGAAUGAAUCGCCACAGCCCCAACGUAUAUCGCGCAGUGUUGACCAAGACCAAGUCAAGCAGGAAUUCUGGCAUGGUAUGUGGCUGCACGAAGGAUUCCGAAAAAGAAAAACAACAUGGCUAAUAGGAUGUUGCUGCCCAGGGAGUCCUGGCGAAGAGGUUUACUCAUUCCAGAAGCAAGAAUUGUAUCAUUGUAAGGCGAAUGGAAAUAAACUGACAUCGACUGAGA